rnacentral:rRNA from 1 species
UACAGAGGUCCCAAGCGUUGUUCGGAUUCACUGGGCGUAAAGGGUGCGUAGGCGGUUGGGUAAGUCUGUCGUGAAAUCUCCGAGCCUAACUCGGAAACUGCGUCGGAUACUAUUCAACUCGAGGAAUGGAGGGGAGACUGGAAUUCUCGGUGUAGCAGUGAAAUGCGUAGAUAUCGAGAGGAACACCAGUGGCGAAGGCGAGUCUCUGGACAUUUCCUGACGCUGAGGAGCGAAAGCGUGGGUAGCGAACAGG